UCUAUUGCUUAAUCCCUUGUAUAAAAAGACCGUUUUGGCUUUCUGGGAAAUAUUUUUAUUUUAUUUUAUUUUAUUUUCCUAAGAAUAUUUAGACUAUUUCAGUUAUCAGGUAAAGAAUUUUUAUUCUCAAUCAUGAAAAAAAAAAUUCUAUUUUUUCCUCCUGGUUAUGGUGUUGCAGUUUUUGAAGUUAUUUGGGCCAAUGGAGGUAUUGCUCCAUUUGGGGCUCUGCAUAAGGUGAGGCCAAAUGUUUUAACUGACCCUUAGAGUAGCUGCAGAACAACAUGAGUUCCAACACAUUAAUUAGAGGGAAGCACUAGGCAUGAGAGAUUGUUUUGAGAUUAUUUGUUUUGAAAUUUUAUAUCAAUCAGCCUAAUAUAAUGUAGCCUCUCCAUUGUUUAAGUUCACAGUCAAGGGAGUCGAAUGUUAGGGAAAAUGCUACAUUUAACAAUGAUCUUUGCUUCAUUGAUUCUCUACCCAUUUCAUAUCUCAUAAGAAUAGAAAGGAAAAAAUACAUCCCCUUCUAAUGUGAACAUUGAAUGUCUUGUCUCCAUUGUGCAAUGCUUAGUUCUUAAGGAUAUUACUGAGUUAUUGGAUGGUCCAAAUGUUUUCUAAGAAAAUAAUCAAAAAAUGUGGAAGGUCCAGAUAUUUCAGAUGGGUGCUUGAACACCAAAACUCUGACAUAUUUCUUGUGAAAUUGCUUAGUGUGGAGUUGCGGGGCUUUGUUUUAGACAUCUCUGAAUGAAAUCCUGCUAAUCAGUUCAAGGAGUUAAAUCACAUACUUCAUCUCCAUUCUUAACAUGGCUCCUACAAAUGUUAUAUAACACUUAAAAGUAUUUUCGACGCUGACUUUAAGAAUACGUGGACUGAACCUAUUCCUUUAGUGUUAACUAUCUCUGUGACUUUAAGCAAGUUCAUUUUUCUAGCUCUUUAGGGCCUGAAUUUUAUAAAGGGUGAAUAAUACUUGCCUGAAGGCAACUCUAGCAUCUUUUGUGAUGUCAGUUACUGAGAAUGACUUUUAAUAAUUACUGCCAUUUAUUGAGGGGUGAAGUUAUGAUUAUGUUCUAGGAACUGUGCUAACAGUGUACAACUCUAUGAAGUUGAAUGCCAUUUAAAGGGAAAUGGUUGAGAUUAAAUUCUAACCAAAAGGUACAGAAAGUAUCUGUGCCUAAGAUAAAGAUUGUAUGUAGACUGAAAACAAAAUACUAGAAAUGAAAUUUCCAUUAGAAAAUGUAAGAGUUAUAAUAGGCACUAUGAAAUUUGAAUUAUAUUGGAUCUGAAUGCAGAAGAAGAGAAGAAUAGGAUAAAAAUCAUGAAAAUGAAGAUAAUAGGUAUGACAGAGAGUUAUAAUUAUAAAUGUUCCUAAAGAAGAACUACAAAAAUUGGAAGAGAAUUAAUGAUCAAAGUGCUCAAUAGUAUUAAAACUGUCAUAGCUUUAAAAAUACUUUAAGUAUGAAGAUGAAAGGAAUCACUUCUCUCAGAAAAGAGAUAGUGAAUAUAGAACCAGAUGUAAGCAGAUAUUUGAAACUUUUUUCAUCUCAAGAAGAGGGAAACAUUCUAUAAGCAUACAGAAAGAAAAAUAGUUGUAUAUAAACAAGCAAAAUUCAAGUUAGGAUGCAAAAUUCUUUGUAAUAUUAAAACCUAGAAGCUAAUAAAAAAUCUAUUACAUUUUGAAGCAAAAUUUGUAAUGAAAGAGUUUUAUCUUUAGGCAAAUUAUCAUUUAUGAUGAAGAGUUUUCUUGGUUCUAUAAGGAUUCUGAAAAUGCAUUACCCAGAGUAUAUGUAUACUCAGUAGAAAGUUAUUUUUCCUUAGGAUGAUCAUACUAUUUGGAUUUUAAAACCAAAUAGAUCAAAACUGACAAAGUAAUUAAGAGAUACUAAUGAUUUAUCUAUAUAGAAUAUAAUGUUUGCUACAUCAAACAAAAUCAAGGGCUUGAUUAAAUGUUAAAUGUUGUUCUGUAUACUCUUAGGUACAGAUUUAAGUAUCAGAAAAAUGAUCUCUCAACAGAGCUGCUCAUUCAACAAGUAUUUAUCCACCUCUCAUUACAGAGGUUUAUAGUCUAGGAGGAGAAACAAACCAAUAAACAGAUAAUUACAUUCCAGUGAUUGGUGCUAUUUUAGGGGAAACAAGUAGUGUUACAAAAACAAAGAGAAGUAUCCCUAACAACCUCCAGAGGUAGAAGGCAUUGCAGAAGGAAUAACACUUAAGCUUAAACUUAAAGUAUUUGGAAGGUUAAGUGAACCAAAGUAACCGUGAUCCAAGGAAGUCAUUUCAAAAGCCAAGAGGGGGGAGUUUUGUAUUGCUAGAGCACAGAGUGUGAGUGGAGGAUUGAUAAUAGUUAUUUAAGGUCAUUGCUUUCAGUCCUCACUCUGUGGUGACCAUCUUAAAAUGCUUAAUAAUUUUGUCUCUGAGUCUGUGUUUUAUUUAUUUAUUUUAUUAUUUUUAAAAUUUUUUUAGUUUUUUAAGGCCACACCAGCAGCACAUGGAGGUUCCCAGGCUAGGGGCUGAAUCAGAGCUACAGCUGCCAGCCUACACCACACCCAUAACAAUGCUGGAUCCUUAACCCACUGAGUGAGACCAGAGAUCAAACCUGCAACCUCAUGGUUCCUAGUCGGAUUUAUUUCUGCUGCGCCAUGACGGGAACUCCUGAGUCUGUGUUUUAUAAUUAAGUUCUUAGGAGACAGUAGAAUAUGCGCUAAUGACCGAGAACCUUGGGCCACAGUGAUCCCACCUCCCACUGCGUCUCUGAUUCCCUUGGACUAAUUGUUGGCCACUCGCUUUUUCAUCCUAGGCCCCACCCAGCCUAAGUGAUUGCUGCCCCCAUCCACUGGCAGGGAUCUAUGCUUCAGGCUACGAGGGCCACGUUGCAUUGGGCAGAAACUACUGAAAACAGGCUUCUCACCCAGCCCCUAUUUAUGCCACUGAGGGUUGGGACCACAAACUGUAGGAAGAGGAAAUGUCUGGCUUCACUUCCCUGCCCCUAACCAGGGCAAGAACUUUUGUCUGGCAGUUGGAAAGAGGGGAACACAGCAGCCGCAUGAAUGCCCUACUCUCAGAGGAUCUCCUGCCAGACGACCCUGACUUCAGUUCCCCUUGACCUUACUGAAACUACUUCACAGCACAGAGAAUAUAAUCAAUAAUAUUGUAAUAACUUUGGUGAUAGAUGGUAACUAGACCCAUAAUGGCAAUCAUUUUAUAGUAUAUCAAAAUAUCACAUCAUUACAUUGUAUGCCUGAAACUAAUAGAAUGUUGUAAGACAAUAAUACUAAGUAAAUAAAUAAGACACCAGACAUAGCUAUACCUCUUCAUACUCCACCCCCAUACACAAUAGUCCCACAAACUGCUUCCAAGCCUUGAAUAGACUGAAUAGUUUUUUUUGCUUUAAGUGCCUUUCAUCCAAGUAAUAUAGUAUUAUCUCAGACAUAAAUAUCCAGGUCACUUCAGCCGCUCACCCACAUUCCCACUCCCACUCAAGGAGGGAUCUUUAGGCAACAUUUAAUUUUGUUAGAUGCAUAUUUUUUCUUUCUCGCCAGAUGUGAAUGGUUUGAGCUCAAACAACCUCUGACAGCAAAACAAAUAUUUUCUGGACACUGCCGUAUACUCUUUUUCUUCUCGCAAGGUAAAAUAAUGAACAAGCAAAAAACAUGUUAGUACAUAGUUUCUGGACACCUUCAGUCUAGCAGUGAUUGGUUUUCUUAUUUACCUAUUUAUUUAACACUGUUCUUGGCAGUGGAGUAGCUCUUACGGAAUAUUUAUGUAAAUUGGCUGGAGGGCAAGGAUCAACUCCCUUUGUAGACAAAUUGUUCAGGAAACUUCCCCCAGCCACAAAGCCAGACAACAGUAGUAUGAAGAUUGGAAACCAGGUGGUGAGCUGCACAGCUGGUACGGAAUUCUACUCGCUUAUGGCCUUUUGGCUAUCAGGUUGCUGGGAGGGAGAAUACACAGGACUAUGCUAUGAUCCAUCUUUGCCUCAUAUCCUAAACUUCGGUCUAUUUGGCUAAUUUUGUUGACAUGAAGCCUCAGCUUUUUACCUUCACCUGGUACAAACCUACCCACAACCACAGCCUUCAAUGCAUCCUGCUCUUCUAUCUCAUUUUCUUAUCACUUCUUGGAUCUCACGUUUCUGCUUUCUCAGCUAUGCUGAAGUAGUUUAAAAAAACCAAAAUUUUCCAAAAUUAUUUUGUAGACCAUGUUAGUGUGCCAUUACUCACAGAAAAGAGAAAGUUUAGAGUUUAUGAUACAAUAUUUUAUUCACAUUUUGAGAGGAAAAAAUGCCAUUUAAAUACACCUACUCAAUUCUAAAGAAAUCUUUAUAGAAAUCUUCAUACUUCAUAAUUAAAGUUAGGGCUUAAAUAUUUUAAAAUGUAUACUACUAAAAACAUUUGGUUAAGAAGAAAGUAAAUAUGAAAGCAUUUGGUGGCUCUUUAGUGGCACCCUAAAAUGCAUAUCUGUGGGUUAGGAUUUUCACCUCUAGGGUAAAGAAUCAAUGCAGAAAUUAUCCAAACUUGUGAAAGUCAGAAGUGCAGAGUAUUUGAGAUUUGUUUUGUAAAACCUGUUCCAAUUUCAUUCCAUUAACUCACCGUGGCGCAGUGGUUAACGAAUCCGACUAGGAACUGUGAGGUUGCGGGUUCGGUCCCUGCCCUUGCUCAGUGGGUUAACGAUCCUGCGUUGCCGGGAGCUGUGGUGUAGGUUGCAGAUGCAGCUUGGAUCCCGCGUUGCUGUGGCUCUGGCGUAGGCCAGUGACUGCAGCUCCGAUUUGACCCCUAGCCUGGGAACCUCCAUAUGCCGCGGGAGCGGCCCAAAGAAAU
rnacentral:lncRNA from 1 species